GACAUACCGAUGACAGGUCUAGAGAUAGAUUUUCCCUUUUAGGGCAUCGGAUACAGGUGGUGCAUGGUUGUCGUCAGCUCGUGUCGUGAGAUGUUGGGUUAAGUCCCGCAACGAGCCGCAACCCCUAUUGUUAGUUGCCAUCAUUAAGUUGGGCACUCUAGCGAGACUGCCAGUAAUAAACUGGAGGAAGGUGGGGAUGACGUCAAAUCAUCAUGCCCCUUAUGACCUGGGCUACACACGUGCUACAAUGGGAAGUACAACGAGUUGCGAGGCGGUGACGCCAAGCUAAUCUCUUAAAGCUUCUCUCAGUUCGGAUUGUAGGCUGCAACUCGCCUACAUGAAGUCGGAAUCGCUAGUAAUCGCGGAUCAGCACGCCGCGGUGAAUACGUUCCCGGGCCUUGUACACACCGCCCGUCACACCACGAGAGUUUGUAACACCCGAAGUCGGUGAGGUAACCGUAAGGAGCCAACCGCCUAAGGUGGGAUAGAUGAUUGGGGUGAAGUCGUAACAAGGUAAGCGUAGAUGA
rnacentral:rRNA from 1 species